rnacentral:rRNA from 1 species
UGGGGAAUAUUGCACAAUGGGCGCAAGCCUGAUGCAGCCAUGCCGCGUGUAUGUAGAAGGCCUUCGGGUUGUAAAGUACUUUCAGCGGGGAGGAAGGGAGUAAAGUUAAUACCUUUGCUCAUUGACGUUACCCGCAGAAGAAGCACCGGCUAACUCCGUGCCAGCUGCCGCGGUAAUACGGAGGGUGCAAGCGUUAAUCGGAAUUACUUGGCGUAAAGCGCACGCAGGCGGUUUGUUAAGUCAGAUGUGAAAUCCCCGGGCUCAACCUGGGAACUGCAUCUGAUACUGGCAAGCUUGAGUCUCGUAGAGGGGGGUAGUAGUCCAGGUGUAGCGGUGAAAUGCGUAGAGAUCUGGAGGAAUACCGGUGGCGAAGGCGGACCCCUGGACGAAGACUGACGAUCAGGUGCGAAAGCGUGGGGAGCAAACAGG